ensembl:lncRNA
AUCAUUUGUCAGAGCAUCGGUCAGGAUUAAAUAUGUGUCGAGAACACAUCUAAACAUAAUAACAUUUAGAGUUAUCUGUUCAACUUCCACUGAUGUAGAGGUCAGUGUUACAGUAAACUGAAGUAACUCAAAAGAGUAGCAAUAGAUAAUGUGGAAAGGCAUAUGCAUUUUCAGUCACAAAUGAUGGGUCGCAAUACUUCAUUCAAAAGAUAACUUUCUUUUUUAGGGAUUGACUUCUUUGACAUCCCGCUUCAAAGUUACAAAGAACAGACAUGUCUUUUAAACACUGUUUAGCUCAAACACCUCUAACAAAAAAUAUUUUUUCCUCCACAACUCAGGAAGCUGUAAGCCUCUGGUACAACAGUGCAGACAGGUUUACAUCCCAUCUGUAACAUGGAUUUUAAACCUAGCAGGGGAAGUGGAAGUAGACAAAAGGGUUGUAUCUGGGAGUAUCAGGGAGUGGAGCCUCUUAAGGGAGUAAGGCUUUUUAAAAGGUAAUUCCUUGAUGCUCUCGGUUCGGUACACCUCUCAUGGAUCGCUCAAGAUCAAAGGAUGACUCAAACAAACGUACCUUCAUCCAUCUAGUCUGGCCCUGAACAGCAGAACACACCAUCAAAUCUUCUGUUCCAGGGUGAAACCACCAACAACUUUGCUUCAACUCUCCGUUAGUCAAAGCAACCAAUGCAUCAGGUCUCAGAAGAGGAACAGCAGGGCUGAAAUUAGGGGGGAAAUGUUGCCUGGCA